UGGGGAAUAUUGGGCAAUGGACGAAAGUCUGACCCAGCAACGCCGCGUGAAGGAAGAAGGUUUUCGGAUCGUAAACUUCUAUCCUUGGUGAAGAUAAUGACGGUAGCCAAGAAGGAAGCCCCGGCUAACUACGUGCCAGCAGCCGCGGUAAUACGUAGGGGGCAAGCGUUGUCCGGAAUGAUUGGGCGUAAAGGGCGCGUAGGCGGCCAACUAAGUUUGGAGUGAAAGUCCUGCUUUUAAGGUGGGAAUUGCUUUGAAAACUGGAUGGCUUGAGUGUAGGAGAGGUUAGUGGAAUUCCCGGUGUAGCGGUGAAAUGCGUAGAGAUCGGGAGGAACACCAGUGGCGAAGGCGACUAACUGGACUAUUACUGACGCUGAGGCGCGAAAGUGUGGGGAGCGAACAGG
rnacentral:rRNA from 2 species